CUCAUUUUCAUCUCACCAUUUUCUUUUCCGAUUUCCUUCUUGGAUUCUAAAUAUGUAACUAUUUUUGCGCAUUUGAAUCUAAUAUAUUUAUAUCUUUGUACUAAGCUGUUUCAAAUUUAUCCGUCUUCUACUUACUAUUUAUGUGGGUUUGUUUUGUUCUUGAUGAUGGGACUCUAAUUCGUAGAAAUGAAUAACUUUGUUAUAUGGGUAUCAGUUUAUUUCUGUUAGUGUUUCAGAUUCAGUUCGAAAUCAUUAGUCUACUAAUGUAAUGAUUAGCUUAGACUGAAAUUAGAAAUGUGGGAUAUGAAAUGGUUACUAUGAUUGUCCAACUGAUGAGCUUUUGCAGAGACUAAGAAAUUUAAUUUCAUCGAGCGCCGAGAUCGAAGUUGAUGAGUUGAUAAAGAAGCAACAUCCAAAUAGAUAUCUUCUUCUAUUAAAUUUUGUUUAGUUAUUUUUUGUUUUGUUUUUAUCUUGAUAUUAUAUUAGAAUUUCAGGAUUCUUGUA